GAUGAACGCUGGCGGCGUGCUUAACACAUGCAAGUCGAACGGUGAAGCCAAGCUUGCUUGGUGGAUCAGUGGCGAACGGGUGAGUAACACGUGAGCAACCUGCCCUGGACUCUGGGAUAAGCGCUGGAAACGGCGUCUAAUACUGGAUAUGAGACGUGAUCGCAUGGUCGUGUUUGGAAAGAUUUUUCGGUCUGGGAUGGGCUCGCGGCCUAUCAGCUUGUUGGUGAGGUAAUGGCUCACCAAGGCGUCGACGGGUAGCCGGCCUGAGAGGGUGACCGGCCACACUGGGACUGAGACACGGCCCAGACUCCUACGGGAGGCAGCAGUGGGGAAUAUUGCACAAUGGGCGAAAGCCUGAUGCAGCAACGCCGCGUGAGGGAUGACGGCCUUCGGGUUGUAAACCUCUUUUAGCAGGGAAGAAGCGAAAGUGACGGUACCUGCAGAAAAAGCGCCGGCUAACUACGUGCCAGCAGCCGCGGUAAUACGUAGGGCGCAAGCGUUAUCCGGAAUUAUUGGGCGUAAAGAGCUCGUAGGCGGUUUGUCGCGUCUGCUGUGAAAUCCCGAGGCUCAACCUCGGGCCUGCAGUGGGUACGGGCAGACUAGAGUGCGGUAGGGGAGAUUGGAAUUCCUGGUGUAGCGGUGGAAUGCGCAGAUAUCAGGAGGAACACCGAUGGCGAAGGCAGAUCUCUGGGCCGUAACUGACGCUGAGGAGCGAAAGGGUGGGGAGCAAACAGGCUUAGAUACCCUGGUAGUCCACCCCGUAAACGUUGGGAACUAGUUGUGGGGACCAUUCCACGGUUUCCGUGACGCAGCUAACGCAUUAAGUUCCCCGCCUGGGGAGUACGGCCGCAAGGCUAAAACUCAAAGGAAUUGACGGGGACCCGCACAAGCGGCGGAGCAUGCGGAUUAAUUCGAUGCAACGCGAAGAACCUUACCAAGGCCUGACAUAUACGAGAACGGGCCAGAAAUGGUCAACUCUUUGGACACUCGUAAACAGGUGGUGCAUGGUUGUCGUCAGCUCGUGUCGUGAGAUGUUGGGUUAAGUCCCGCAACGAGCGCAACCCUCGUUCUAUGUUGCCAGCACGUAAUGGUGGGAACUCAUGGGAUACUGCCGGGGUCAACUCGGAGGAAGGUGGGGAUGACGUCAAAUCAUCAUGCCCCUUAUGUCUUGGGCUUCACGCAUGCUACAAUGGCCGGUACAAAGGGCUGCAAUACCGUGAGGUGGAGCGAAUCCCAAAAAGCCGGUCCCAGUUCGGAUUGAGGUCUGCAACUCGACCUCAUGAAGUCGGAGUCGCUAGUAAUCGCAGAUCAGCAACGCUGCGGUGAAUACGUUCCCGGGCCU
rnacentral:rRNA from 1 species